CAAUAAAUCUUCUAAGGUCUAGUACUGUUAAAUCCUCUUUGCAUCAAUUUUUUCAGUUGAUGUGUGCUUAGGGGUAAAUUGUAGCUCAUUGUUUCUAUAAAAUACGCUGCACCAUGGCCUGUUUUUGUUGAGAUUUCAUACAAUAAAACUUUUUAGUGGUUAAUUUUAACGGCGGUAUACAUACAUGUUUAUAGUAAGUUGGUCGUGUGGUGACGUUCAGGCAACAAGCUCCUCUAAUUAGGUAAAUUGCCGCCAAAUUCUUUGGGUUUGGUGAGUUUAGCAAUUACUACCCACCAUUAGUUUCUACAGGAAUAAUAAGGGUAUCUAAUCCUAGUUUA
rnacentral:rRNA from 1 species